AAUAAAAAUAAAACAACCCAAACCGCGGCCGUUUCGCUCGGCAGGCCGCCGGGCCAGCCCGCAAAGCGGCGCAGCCUGUUUUGUUUCCUUACCGUGGCUCGCAGCCUCGCAGCUGCCGCCUCCUUCUCCUCCCCCCACCUCCUCCUCCUCCUCCUCCUGCUUCGCCUUCCUCCUCCUCCUCCUCCUCCUCCUCCUCCUCCUCCUCCUCACCCCUCGGCCGCCGCGCAGGAUGAUGCCAUCUCACCGCGGCAGCGGCGCUGGGAGGGACGCAGGGAGGGAGGGAGGGAAGGAGAAAGGAGGGUCCGGGCCGAGGCUCUUCGCAGGGGGACAGGGCUUCUGCGGAGCGCCUGCCCCGGGCUGAACCAAGUCUGGCGGCGCGGCGGGGAGACGAGCGGAGCGGAGCCGAGCCGGGCGGGGAGGAGGAGCCGCGGGUUGGAGCGAGCGGUGCUGCCCCCUGAGGGGGAGCGCCCCGGGAAGGGGCUCCCCCGCGGCCGGGGGGUGGCGGCGGGUGGAGGUCGGAUCCUGCUCCCUGAGGGGGAUUCGGGGCUCCCCCCGCAGCUGCACCUGGAGCACGGGGCCCCGGCAUGGCUGAGGGAGGCACAGGCUGUCCCGGCGGGGCACCGCGAGAGGCUUCUGCCUCACGCCGAGGGGUAAACGGUGAGCUGCGAGGAGCAACAGCUCGCAGCGUGGAAGCCUGAAGGGACUGCCUGAAGGGACACGAGUCCUGUGAGGAGCGGCUGAGGGAGCUGGGGGUGUUUGGUCUGGGGAAGAGGAGGCUCAGGGGAGACCUCAUUGCUCUCUGCAACUACCUGAGAGGAAGGUGUGGGGAGCUGGGGUCGGCCUCUUCUCUCAGAUGACUAGUGAUAGGACUAGAGGGAAUGGCCUCAAGUUGCACCAGAGGAGGUUUAGGUUGGAAAUGAGGAGACAUUUCUUCUCAGAAAGAGUAGUCAGGUAUUGUAACGGGUUGCCCAGGGAGGUGGUGGAGUCACCGUCCCUAGGGGUGUUCAAGGAAAGGUGGGACGUGGCGCUUAGGGACAUGGUUUAGUGGGUGACGUUGGUGGUAAGGGGCUGGUCAGAACAGAUGAUCUUGAAGGUAUUUUCCAACCUUAAUGAUUCUAUGAUUCCAGCCAAGUCUGGCGUUUUGUUGGAUUAAAAAAAUAAAUAAAAAUCCAGCAGCCUGACUUGGGCA
rnacentral:lncRNA from 1 species